rnacentral:ncRNA from 1 species
GGUUGAUGGCCCUUCGGCGUCGCCCUGCGGGGGGAGAUGCCAAAACCACCUCGUGCUGCGUUGGUUGAUGACCGUCGUGGUGAGCGACGAGGAAAAGGCGCUUGACGCGUCAGGU